rnacentral:rRNA from 1 species
CAAUAGCGUAUAUUAAAGUUGUUGCAGUUAAAAAGCUCGUAGUUGGAUUUGUGGCGUACGGUGUGUUCCGGGCACUUGUUGUCUGAGUAACCUGCUGUUGCCAUCCUUGGGUGGAACCUGUGUGGCAUUAGGUUGUCGUGCAGGGGAUGCCCAUCAUUUACUGUGAAAAAAUUAGAGUGUUCAAAGCAGGCUUAUGCCGUUGAAUAUAUUAGCAUGGAACAAUGAGAUAGGACUUUUUUGCUAUUUUGUUGGUUUGCGCAAGAAGGUAAUGAUUAAUAGGGACAGUUGGGGGUAUUCGUAUUCCAUUGUCAGAGGUGAAAUUCUUGGAUUUUUGGAAGACGAACUACUGCGAAAGCAUUUACCAAGGAUGUUUUCAUUAA